AGGCCACAAAGGAAAUCAGCCACCGGCCACUCCUAGACCCAGAACAUCCGGAAAAGGUGUUCGCACCUUUUCUGUUGUCUGAAGAGCAACGUUGAAGACCUUCUUGUGCCUCCUGACAGGAUGGCACAGGAACUGAAAGACCAGCAGGGAGAAUGGGAGACACAUCAUGUGUCUGAUGGCG